UGCAAAACGCGUUCAAUCACUAAGUUCAGAUUAAACAUUCAAAGACUUCCCUCCAAGCUCUUGACCUCUGAACCACCCUCCUCCGUCGCGCCGGAGGUCGCCCUGGAGGCGGUGGAAGUCCAACCACCAAAAUACCAUCAUACUUGUUUCAAAAUGCUCUAUUCGAAUCCAGAAUUGAUUUCACCAAAUUUCUAUCCUAAAGCCCUAACCGAAGUGAAUAAGAACCCUAUAUAUAACAACCUUAAAUUAAAUCAUAAUCACGGGAAUCAAAGCCCAAAAGGUUGGGGAUUUGAUUCCCCAUACCUAAAUUCACAUUACAGUAACGAGUUCAAAGUGAAAUGAGGAAAAAGAUCAACCUAGUUGUCGGAGAAGAUGAAGAUGCCGACGAAAUUUCCAGGAAAUUCAUGCACUCUUGCUCUUAAAUGGUGUGUAUGGGCUAACGCAUUGCCGGGAUGAAUUGGUGAUGGCUAUGACUUCAAGAAUGAUUGGCAUGACACUACAUGAAAGUCCAUGGUGAUGGCUUGAAGAAAAGAAAGCUUGCUUGCUCAUGAAGAAAGGUUUGGUCAUGCAAUCAAGUGAAAGGAUGCAAGAUAAUGAAGAAACAAAGGGAAUUAGAGUUUGGAAUAUGGAAAUUGGGUCAUUUGAUUUUGGUCAUCUAGUUGACCAAAAAGUCAACAGUUGACCAAAAGUCAACUGUAGGUCAAAACUUAUAUUUUUUUGUAAUUUUUUUUGUAUGAUUUCUUGUAAAUGAUAUUGUAUGAAUGAAAUGAACAAAUGAAUGGAAAUGAAUCCUUUUGAUUUGAUGAGA